rnacentral:rRNA from 1 species
AGUGGACGCUGGCGGUAGGCCUAACACAUGCAAGUCGAACGGCAGCACAGUAAGAGCUUGCUCUUACGGGUGGCGAGUGGCGGACGGGUGAGGAAUACAUCGGAAUCUACUUUUUCGUGGGGGAUAACGUAGGGAAACUUACGCUAAUACCGCAUACGACCUACGGGUGAAAGCAGGGGAUCUUCGGACCUUGCGCGAUUGAAUGAGCCGAUGUCGGAUUAGCUAGUUGGCGGGGUAAAGGCCCACCAAGGCGACGAUCCGUAGCUGGUCUGAGAGGAUGAUAAGCCACACUGGAACUGAGACACGGUCCAGACUCCUACGGGAGGCAGCAGUGGGGAAUAUUGGACAAUGGGCGCAAGCCUGAUCCAGCCAUACCGCGUGGGUGAAGAAGGCCUUCGGGUUGUAAAGCCCUUUUGUUGGGAAAGAAAAGCAGCAGGUUAAUACCCCGCUGUUCUGACGGUACCCAAAGAAUAAGCACCGGCUAACUUCGUG